AGGAGAGUUUGAUCCUGGCUCAGGAUGAACGCUGGCGGCGUGCUUAACACAUGCAAGUUGUGCGGUUUUCUUCGGAUGAGACUUCGGUGGAUUUCGUAGAGAACAGCAGCGGACGGGUGAGUAAAGCACAAGGACGUGUCCUUUGGCGGGGGACAACUGCGGGAAACCGUAGCUAAUACCCCAUAAGCCGGAAGGUGAAAGCAGCAAUGCACCGGGGGAGCGACUUGUGUCCUAUCAGGUAGUUGGUGAGGCAACGGCUCACCAAGCCAAAGACGGGUAGCCGGACUGAGAGGUUGUACGGCCACAUUGGAACUGAGAGACGGUCCAGACUCCUACGGGAGGCAGCAGUGGGGAAUAUUGGGCAAUGGGCGCAAGCCUGACCCAGCGACGCCGCGUGAGGGAAGACAGCCUUCGGGUUGUAAACCUCUGUUGCAGGGGAAGAAGGACGUGACGGUACCCUGCGAGGAAGCUCCGGCUAACUACGUGCCAGCAGCCGCGGUAAUACGUAGGGAGCGAGCGUUGUCCGGAAUUACUGGGCGUAAAGGGCGCGUAGGCGGUGUUUCAAGUCAACUGUCAAAGAGCGGGGCUUACCCCCGUGCCGCAGUUGAAACUGAAACGCUGGAGGCACAGAGAGGCAGACAGAAUUCCUGGUGUAGCGGUGAAAUGCGUAGAUAUCAGGAAGAAUACCAGUGGCGAAGGCGGUCUGCUGGCUGUGAACUGACGCUGAAGCGCGAAAGCCAGGGGAGCAAACGGGAUUAGAUACCCUGGUAGUCCCCU
rnacentral:rRNA from 1 species